ensembl:snRNA U6 U6 spliceosomal RNA
GUGCUCGCUUCAGCAUCACAUAUACUAACAUGGGAGUGAUACAGAGAAGAUUAACAUGUGCGAGGAUGACAUGUAAGUUUGUGAAGUGUUCCAUAUUUUU